UNGGAAGGCAUAUUUUGGCACACAGUAAGC
rnacentral:piRNA from 1 species